rnacentral:rRNA from 1 species
AACGAACGUUGGCGGCGUGGAUUAGGCAUGCAAGUCGAACGCGAAAGGGGAGCAAUCCCCGAGUAAAGUGGCGAACGGGUGAGUAACGCGUGGGAAAUCUGCCCUAGAGCGGGGAAUAACACUCCCAACGGGGUGCUAAUACCGCAUGAUAUCGCUGGUGGACAUCCUCUGGCGAUCAAAGGUGGGGACCGCAAGGCCUGCCACUCUAGGAUGAUCCCGCGUCCGAUUAGCUAGUUGGUAGGGUAAUGGCCUACCAAGGCGACGAUCGGUAGCUGGUCUGAGAGGAUGGUCAGCCACACUGGGACUGAGAUACGGCCCAGACUCCUACGGGAGGCAGCAGUCGAGAGGCUUCGGCAAUGGGCGAAAGCCUGACCGAGCGACGCCACGUGAGCGAUGAAGCCCUUCGGGGUGUAAAGCUCUUUUGUGGGGGAAGAACAGCUGCGACCUAAUACGUCGCAGCCUGACGGUACCCUGCGAAUAAGCUCCGGCUAACUCCGUGCC